UAUUUCAGAGAGUUGACCA
rnacentral:piRNA from 1 species